UGCAAGGAAAUAUCCAAUGAUAAAAGCCACAAAAGUUUAUCUUGCCUACGAAGCAUGCUUAAAAACCGAAAUAACUAAUCUGAAUGAAUCUUGGGUACCACAUUACGUAUGUGCUGUUUGUUACACCGAAUUGAUUGCGUGUCACAAAAAUUCACAACAAUUCAAGUAUAUUUCGCCAAGGAUAUGGCGUAAACCAGUCGACGUAAGUGAAUGCUAUUUUUGCCUUUCACAAAUUCGACCUGGUAUUUCAAAAAAUGAGUACCCUGUUGCCAGUUCGUCGGAACCACCAAUCGAGUUCAAUUCCAUGCAAAAAAAAGCCGAUUGUCCUGCUGAUAACCUUGAAGUACCCAGUUUUGCAUCUUUAAUUACCGCUAGUUCCAUCAGUGUGCCGCACUCCGAAUACCAACCGGAAGAAGAACCCGAUGAUACGCCCCAUUUCCCGAACCAAAAGGAAAUUGACGAUCUUAUAAAAGAUUUGGGUCUCGGCAAAUCGAAAGCAGAGCUUUUAACAUCACGACUAAAAGAAUGGAAAAUAGUUGACAAAUCAGUAAAGAUAACGGCCCAACGGAAACGAGACGAGGCUUAUUCGCGCUUUUAUACGUAUGAUGAAGCUGUUUGCUACUGCAAAGACAUACCUGGUUUGUUUACAGCCAUCGGUAUCUCAUUGAACGUUGGUGAAUGGCGGCUAUUUAUUGACGGUUCGUCAACAUCGAUAAAAGUUGUUCUCCUUCAUAACAGAACGGGAAAAGAAAGGCUUCCGUCGCUUCCAAUAGCUUAUUCGAAGCUUUUAAAAGAAAGCUUCGAAUGUACGAAGUUAAUUUUGGAGCUGAUUAAGUAUGAAAACUACAAAUGGGAAGUUAUAGGCGACUUCAA